GGCCGUGUGGCGAAAUGGCAUCGCGUCUGACUACGAUGAUUACUUCAAGGGAGUCACGUCAUCAGGAGAUUGCAGGUUCGACCCCUGUCUCGGUCA